CCUACGGGAGGCAGCAGUGAGGAAUAUUGGUCAAUGGGCGAGAGCCUGAACCAGCCAAGUCGCGUGAGGGAGUACUGCCCUAUGGGUUGUAAACCUCUUUUGUCGGGGAGCAAAAGCCGGACGUGUCCGGCUGUGAGCGUACCCGAAGAAAAAGCAUCGGCGAAUUCAGGGCGAGCAGCCGCGGUAAUCCGGGGGAUCCGAGCGUUAUCCGGAGUUAAUGGGGUUAAGGGGGGCGUAGGUGGAUUGUUAAGUCAGUUGUGAAAGUUUGCGGCUCAACCGUAAAAUUGCAGUUGAAACUGGGAGUCUAGAGUACAGUAGAGGUGGGCGGAAUUCGUGGUGUAGCGGUGAAAUGCUUAGAUAUCACGAAGAACUCCGAUUGCGAAGGCAGCUCACUGGACUGCAACUGACACUGAGGCUCGAAAGUGUGGGUAUCAAACAGGAUUAGAUACCCUAGUAGUC
rnacentral:rRNA from 1 species